GAGGGCAUAGUUGAGUGGUACAGUGUGUGCUUAGCAUGCAAAAAAUCCUGGGUUCAAUCCCCAGUACCUCCA
rnacentral:tRNA from 1 species